AGAUACAUAUAUUGUUGCCCGAAUCAGGUGAUUCCAUAACAAAGAAAAUGAAAAGAUGUGGCAUUAGCAGAGGGCUUGGAUGGUUGUGUGCUCCAGAUGAAGGCCACUUCAGCAACCUGGGUUCCAGAGUGAGGAUGAUGUGAAGCAGAACUCACAGCUUACCUGUGGAAGAUGUUUAGUGUGAAUAAGUUCUUGCUAUAUUAAAGCAACAAGACUGUGGGAUUUUUCUUUUAAAUUAACAAUGGUAUAAGAAGCCUCAUGAUUUCAUCCCUGCCUACUUCUCAAGCAAUACCCCCAGUCAUUCCCUGAUACACAUGAUAUCCUACCAGCACCAAUAAACUACUUUUAAAAUAAAAUCA